rnacentral:lncRNA from 1 species
CGGGAUGGCUGCCCAUCUGUGCUUCAAUCCAUGCCGUCACAGAGAGAUGGAGACAGAUCGAGAGAGAGAAAGAGAGAUAGAGAGAGAUAUAUAUAGAGAGAGCGAGAGGGGAGAGGUGGGGGUUCGGAUCACUGCUCAUUCUCUGUUGCAUCGUCAGAUAAGUGUUGUUUCAAAUUUAAUUUUGUACCAAAUUUUACUUUUUUUAAUUGUUUCUUGCAUUUAUGGUUACCUGCAUGUGGUGAUUGAAAGGUCAAAAAAAAUUUGCAAAUCUUUUUUCCAUAUUUGGUUAGGUUAGUCUUCUGUAUUUUUUUAAUCCGUUUGGGGAUUUUCUGGGUCUCUAUAUAUGGUUGCUUUUGGGUUUUGCAUCUCAUUCUCGGUUUCUCUCUGUCAGAUAAUAUUUCCAACGUUCGUUCCUUACCUUUUUUUUACGUUUUCUAAUUUUUCAUCUCAGCUUUUGCCAUUCGUGUUUGAUUACAAUAUUUAUGGCUGUAAUAAACCCUUUGAGUGUAUUGUUAGCUUCUGUUUAGACUAUUGUUAGUUGUUGUUAAGUUGCUGCCAUUUUUUGGUAAUUAGUAUUCAAAUUUUUUUUUUUUUUGAAAGAAGUUUGUGUUCUGUGAUUUGAAUUGGAACAAAAUCAGUAAACACAGCAGAUUGAUUUACAAUCUGUGAUUUUCUUAAAAAAUGCCAUAUUUAGGUUGAGCUAUGUUUUAAAUUAUUUGUUUUUUUGCCUCUGUGACUGUGUAUGUAGAUGUCUGUGUGUAUGUGCAAAUAUUUUUGAGCGUAUCGUUGGCUUCUGUUUUAGACUAUUAUUAGUUGUUGUUAGGUUGCUGCCAUUCUUUAAUAAUUAGUGUAAAAUUUUGUUUUUUUUUUAAAGAAGUUUUUCUUCUGUGAUUUGAAUUGGUAAUUAGUGUGUAAAACCCUUUGACUAAUUUUAAUGCGAUAUUUUUAUUUCGAUUGUUUAAGAACAAGAAAACUAACUUUUCUUCUCUUUUUUAUGGAUUGCAGGAAACGUACUGCCAACUCGGGAUUUUGCAUGGUUGCUUUUGGGUUUUGCAUCUCAUUCUCGGUUUCUCUCUGUCAAAUAAUUUUUCCAGCGUUCGUUCCUUACCUUUUUUUUACGUUUUCUAAUUUUUCAUCUUAGCUUUUGCCAUUCGUGUUUGAUUACAAUAUUUAUGGCUGUAAUAAACCCUUUGAGUGUAUUGUUAGCUUCUGUUUAGACUGUUGUUAGUUGUUGUUAAGUUGCUGCCAUUUUUUGGUAAUUAGUGUUAAAAUGUUUUUUUUUUUAAAGAAGUUUUUAUUCUGUGAUUUGAAUUGGAACAAAAUCAGUAAACACAACAGGUUGAUUUACAAUCUGUGAUUUUUUUUAAAAAUGCCAUAUUUAGGUUCAGCUCUGUUUUAAAUUAUUUGUAUUUUUGUCUCUGUGACUGUGUAUGUACAUGUCUGUGUAUGUACAUGUCUGUGUGUAUGUGCAAAUAUUUUUGAGCGUAUCGUUAGCUUCUGUUUUAGACUGUUAUUAGUUGUUUUUAGGUUGCUGCCAUUCUUUAAUAAUUAGUGUAAAAUUUUGUUUUUUUUUAAAGAAGUUUUUUUGCUGUGAUUUGACUUGGUAAUUAGUGUGUAAAACGAUGGGAAGUUUAACUGUUUGCGGAUUAAUCUUGGUUUCAUUUUCCGUAUGUGUUUAUUUUUGGCCAAUGAAUUUUAGAGUGUUGUUAUUUGUUGUUAAGUUGCUGCCAUUUUUUGGUGAUUGGCAUUAAAAACCUUUAUUUUUUGAAGAGGUUUUUUUUUUUGGGUGAUUUUAAUUGGAACCCUUUAACUACACAUGUUUUUAGAGUGUGCACAUCUAUAUGUAUGUGUGUGUACAUGUAAAAAACUCUGUAACUCACUGCACAUUUUUAUAACUGUGAAACACUCCCAUUUGCUGAAAAGUGCAGUUUAUAUGUGUACAUGUGUAUAAAUGUAUGUGCAAGUAUAUGUGUCAGUGUAUACCUAAGUAUAUGUCUAGAUAUAUGUAUAGGCGCCUAUAUAACUAUAUGUAUAUCUGUGUACAUGUGUAUAUGUAUGUAUGGGCACCUGUAUAACUAUAUUUAUAUCUAUGUACAUGUAUAAGUACCUGUACAACUAUAUGUAUAUACGUAUGUAUGCAUGCAUGCAUCUGUGUGUAUGUCUGUAUGUACAUGUAUAUGUAUGUAUGCAUGCAUGCAUCUGUGUGUGUAUGUACAUGUAUAUGUAUGUAUGCAUGAUGUGUGUGUAUGUACAUGUAUAUGUAUGUGUACAUGCAUCUGUAUGCGUCUGUCUGUGUAUGUACAUGUAUAUGUAUGCAUGCAUGCAUCUGUAUGCGUGUGUGUGUAUAUACAUGUAGAUGUGUGUAUAUGUAAGGUUUAGGGUUUAGAUAAUUUGUGUGUGAGUGUGGUCUUUAAUGUUUGGGGAAAAUUUCUAAGUUGGUUACUAUUACAGGAUUAGUGGUGAUGGAUUUGCUAUGUUUGUGAAUUUCAGAAAUUUGGAUACUCGAAGGAAACACUUGGGCCUUUAGCUUUUUGAGGUAUAUUCAUUAAUGGCGGUUUUCUAACUAUAGAAUAGCAUUCAUUUCCAAUAUUUUUGGUAUUUUGCCAUGGUUGUAAUUCACAUUUAAAGGUGUAAAAACAGGUGUGUUGUAUAUAUAUAUAUGGAGUUGGAAUAUAUGUCGACUGUUACAAGCAAAUAUAGUGUUGACUUAUAAACGAUUUUCCCAUCCUCAUUUACAUGUUCAAUGUAGACUUAAUUAUGCUAAUCAGCCUCUGUUGCAAAAACGAAUCUCCUUUGUGGCUAAGUGAAAACAUGCAGAUCAUCUUAUUUUAUUAAUUUCAGCAUAAAUUAACACUUGCAUUUGAUCAGUGUGAGUAAGUAUGUAAUGUAUGGAAAAAAAAACAGUUUAGUUUCAUUACGAUUUAUUCAAAAAGAUUUAUAAAUAUUUGCCUUCGCGUAUUGUUUACUUAUAAAAAAAAAUUGAAUUAUUUGGUUCAUUAACAUUAUAUUUAAUUUGUGAUUCAGAGAAAAUAAAAUGGUGAAAGAGAUCGAUCGAAAAGAACAACAAAUUUUAGGAGGGGUUUUGGUAAAAGAUUUAAGAAGCUUGGUAAUAGCUCGAAAAGAAGAACAGCUUCGAGGGACAAAAUUGUUUUAUUCAGAGACUGGUCCAGGACCCAGCACAUCAAGAGCACGAAAAAUAGAAAAAACAAGAAUGGGUUUACGUGUCUAUGGAAAAGGUGUCAAUCGAAACAAAUUAGUGGUUCACACUAUGUAUUCACCUAGAAAUCGUAGUAAUCCACCGAAAGAAAAAUGGGCAGAAGAGCUUUUUUGGGUUGUACAAUUGGAUUUGCAAGUUUGAUCGCCCAAAGAAGAUUGGGAUGCUCCUUCUCUGGUUCAUCUCCACUGUAGUGGUUUUUUGGAUUUUAAAAAAUAUGUAGGGAUCAUCUAGAUUUUAAAUUUUUAAAAAAGGUUUUGUAAACCUUUUUUGGUUGCUUGGUAACCAUAAUGAUGUAAACGAUGAAGUGGUUUUUUGAAUUGUAAAAUAUGUAGGGAUGGGUGGAAUUUUGAAUUUUAUAAAAAAGGUUGCGUAAACUUUUUUGUUGGCUUACAAGCAUAAUGAUGUAAACAAUGAUCACCCUUAUCGAUAUAAUAAUUAAGUGUUGUUGCUACUCAUUUUCA